UACGAAGUAGCUCAACUGGUAGAGCGUUCGCCUGUUAAGCGAAUGGUUUGCGGGUUCGACCCCCGCCUUCGUAG
rnacentral:tRNA from 2 species